rnacentral:lncRNA from 1 species
AUACCAACACCACCAAUACCAAUACCAACACUAAUACCAAUACUAAUGUCACCAACACCAAUAUCAACACAACCAUCAACAUCAAUACCAAUACCAAUGCCACUGAUAGCAAUACCAACACCACCACCAACAUCACCAACACCACCGCCAAUACCAACAACACCAUCAAUACCACCACCACCACACCAUCCAAUAAUACGACGACAGACAACAGAAUUCUG